rnacentral:misc_RNA from 1 species
GAUGAAGGAACGCAGCGAAAUGCGAUAAGUAGUGUGAAUUGCAGAAUUCAGUGAAUCAUCGAAUCUUUGAACGCACAUUGCGCCCUUUGGUAUUCCUUAGGGCAUGCCUGUUCGAGCGUCAUUUAAACCUUCAAGCUAAGCUUGGUGUUGGGUGACUGUCCGCUUCACGGCGGACUCGCCUCAAAAUUAUUGGCGGCCGGUACAUUGGCUUCGAGCGCAGCAGAAACGCGAACUCGGGCCCGUCGUAUUGGCUCCCAGAAGCUAUCUUCACAAUUUUGACCUCGGAUCAGGUAGGGAUACCCGCUGAACUUAAGCAUAUCAAUAAGCGGAGGA